rnacentral:rRNA from 1 species
UACGGAGGGGGCUAGCGUUGUUCGGAAUUACUGGGCGUAAAGCGCACGUAGGCGGACCAGUCAGUUAGAGGUGAAAUCCCAGGGCUCAACCCUGGAACUGCCUUUAAUACUGCUGGUCUGGAGUUCGAGAGAGGUGAGUGGAAUUCCGAGUGUAGAGGUGAAAUUCGUAGAUAUUCGGAGGAACACCAGUGGCGAAGGCGGCUCACUGGCUCGAUACUGACGCUGAGGUGCGAAAGCGUGGGGAGCAAAC